rnacentral:rRNA from 1 species
AUGUUUGUGUUUCUAACUAAUGUUGGGGAUUAUGGAAAUCGGAUGUGUGCAUGGACCAACUUUUGGAUCAAACCAGGGCCCAGAAAACCAGACAUAACAGAAGAGCCUUUGUCGUUUUCCACUAAAAAUAUCAGCGUGAUCUGCUUUCAUGGCAACAUUUAUUUAGCAUGUCCUGUUUUGAUUUCAUUGUAUUUUCUGUCCCAUCAUAUUUCAGGUAGUACUAAGCUUGCAGUUCCAUGUUCAGUAUUUAGAUUAUGCUUAGAAAUACUUUGUCAGUUAGUACUAACUACCAAGUUUGCAGUUCAAUGUUAA